rnacentral:lncRNA from 1 species
AAAUGGUGGUCGGUAGUUAUCUAAAAAUCAGAACAAUAAGGGCAUGUUUGGCCUAGCUUCUGAAAAAGUGAUUUCUGAAAAAGUAAUUUUGGUUUGGAUAAGUGAUUUUGGUUAAAAGCUAUAAAGCAUUUGGCAGAGUUUGCAUAAAUUAAUAUUUUUAUUAAAUUUUAUUUUAAAAUAAUUUAAAAUCUAAUUUAAAUAAUAAUUUAAAAUUUUAAAAUUUAAAAUAAUUAUGAAAUUUAAAAUUUAAAAAUAUAAAUAUAAAUUUAAAAAUAUAUAUAAUUAUGAAUUUUAAAAUAUAAAAUUUUAAUAUAUAAAAAUAUAAAUA